UACAGAGGGGGGCAAGCGUUUAUUCGGAAUUACUGGGCGUAAAGGGCGCGUAGGCGGCCUUCUAAGUCGAACGUGAAAUCCCCGGGCUCAACCCGGGAACUGCGUCCGGAUACUGGAAGGCUUGAAUCCGGGAGAGGGAUGCGGAAUUCCAGGUGUAGCGGUGGAAUGCGUAGGAGAGUCGGGAAGAACAUCAGUGGCGAAGGCGGCCUGCUGGGCUGUUGCUGACGCUGAGGCGCGACAGCGUGGGGA
rnacentral:rRNA from 1 species